UACGGAGGGUGCAAGCGUUACCCGGAAUCACUGGGCGUAAAGGGUGCGUAGGUGGCGCCGUAAGUCAGGUGUGAAAUUUCGGAGCUUAACUCCGAAACUGCAUUUGAUACUGCGGUGCUUGAGGACUGGAGAGGAGACUGGAAUUUACGGUGUAGCAGUGAAAUGCGUAGAGAUCGUAAGGAAGACCAGUGGCGAAGGCGGGUCUCUGGACAGUUCCUGACACUGAGGCACGAAGGCCAGGGGAGCAAACGGG
rnacentral:rRNA from 1 species